AGUCAUUUCAGCGCAGAGGCUACCACUCACUCCUCGGGAGCGACAGCCCAUCCUGCAAGCUCAGCCCCUUCCCUGGAGGGACAGGCGGCCCUGGGGGCUCUUCUCCCUCCAUCCGCCGCGGCCCGGGGCUUGCUCCCCCGGCAGCGCCGAGCACUCCGGGAGGCCCGGGUGGGUGGGACCCGGCAAACAGCGGCCGUGAUUGCUAUCCUGGCCUGGUCCGGCCCAACAGGCUUUACCGAGGAGCCGCGAGGUUUGAGUCCUUAUUUCCCAGCCAGCUCAGGGGGCUCAGGAAAGGAAUGGGUCGGGGGCCCAAGGCUCGGUCCCUGGAGGAACAGGAGGACCUGACCCAGCGCCUAGGGCAGCGCGACCAGCGGUCACCCCGCCCCCUCCCCGAGGGCAGCAGGGGUGAGGAGAGGCCAAGACGCCUGUUCCAGGGGGCUCUUACCUCCCCACACCCCUGCGGAGCUCUGUGAGGCUUGACGAGACGCCGCGUUAAGGAGUGAAGAGCGACCCCGGCCGGGAAUCCAGGGUGUGCGCGAUGUCGGCUCAAGCAAAAAAUUCACAUAUAUCCUGGCUCUUCCUUUAUCUCUUUGGAGCAAUUCCCCAAUUUGGAGUUAUCUGAGAGGCUGUCUCCUGGGCUAUGGUCCACAGCUGAUGUUAAUAUUGUCACAGAAUCCUCCCAUGUUGGCAUCCAUUUGGGAAAAAAGAAUUCAGGAUUCAGGAGGCCUGGAUCCUACUACCAGCUCUGCCUGUAACCCAGUGGUGCCUGAUGAGGGAUCUCAUCUUCCUGAGCUCCUCCCAAAAGGUGAGGAGACCUUGUAGUCCCAGCAGGCUCAAACUUAGGUAGAUUUCACAUCUUCCCCCUCCCCAGAAGCUGCCUGGCUCUUCCCAGGGGAGCGGAAUCUUCCGGCACACAAGUAAUCUCCCAGGGCAAGAAAUGGGGUCAGAGUGACCACCUCAGCCGACAGUGAACCUAACUAGUCUUGGUGAGAUCCUUGGCUUCUGAUGAAUCAUAGGCUGCCACCAAGCAGGUGGCUGCACUGGUCUGUUACUGCUUAUGCUUUUUUUUCCUUUUUAAUACUAUUAUUAAAAAAAUUUUGGGCUUCCCUGGUGGCGCAGUGGUUGAGAGUCUGCCUGCCGAUGCAGGGGACACGGGUUCGAGCCCUGGUCUGGGAAGAUCCCACAUGUCGCGGAGCGGCUGGGCCCGUGAGCCACAACUACUGAGCCUGCGCGUCUGGAGCCUGUGCUCCGCAACGAGAGGCCGCGACAGUGAGAGGCCCGCGCACCGCAAUGAAGAGUGGCCCCCGCUUGCCGCAACUAGAGAAAGCCCUCGCACAGAAACGAAGACCCAACA